rnacentral:lncRNA from 1 species
ACCAUAAAUGUUUUCUUCCGUUCAGCUUUGGGAAAAGAGGUUGCUCAGGUCAAAUGUUUGCUAUGACCGAAAUGAAGACAAUAACUGCUACUGUAUUGAGACAAUUUAUUGUUCAAAUAGACAAACCUGUACCAGUUGAAAAUAUUAACUUAAAAUUCAAUAUUACUACGAAACCUGCUGAAACUAUAUUCUUGAGAUUUAAAAAGAGAUAAUAUUUAUCAUUGUUGUCGUCAUUAUGUUCCUAAUCAAACAAUUGUAAUAUAUAAAUAACCGUACAAAUUAAAAAUAAAUUCCUAAUACUA